rnacentral:lncRNA from 1 species
GAAAACUGCAGUACCAGUCCAUUUGUGGGACGAUCAGAGGAGCAGCACCAGGGCCAUGUCUCUGUGCCUUGGAGGGACCUGCUGUGCCAUACAACCAGCACGUUUCCUCUACUGAUAUACAGAGUUCAUAUACAUACACAGACCUCCUACAGUGGCAGAGAAGUCAGAGCCAGGAGUGUGGCCGUGGUCCCAUCUGUCUUUAGGAGUGCAGAAGUUUGCAUUUAAGGCAGCUGGUAAUUUAGGAAAGAAGAUACAAAUUCUCCCGGAACACGGAGACAAAAAAUUCCCCCCCGUAGGUGACCGAUUACUGUGGUUUUCUCCAAGUUAAAAGAAGGUUUAAAUAUUGACUGUAGUGAAUUUAUGGACCUUUGUAUGGAAAAAAAAACUAUGCUUCUAUAAUCUUUAGACAGC